GGCUGGUCAAACACUAUAAAUCCACCACAUUGAGAGCGGGAAAGAGCGAGCGAGAGAGAGAGAGAGAGAUUAUACUUACUAAUACGGAAGAGCGAAUAGGGGCAUCUGUUCCUGAUCAUGUACUGUGGAGAAAUUCAAAGGUAAAUAUUAUCACACAUUUGAAGCUCUCGGGUCGUUUGUCCAAACGCAGUGGAUACUGAAAAGAAGAGGCCCUGCGUUUUGUCUUCUUUCCUUCUAUUGUAACCAAGAUGCCUUUAUAAACAAACUAUCUGAAAGCGUUGGGUUAUAAGCUAGAUGUAGUGCAAGAUCAAGCUUCCCAACGAGAUAAACCGUCAUCAUUACAUCAGAACAUCUUGGGUAAAGUGUUAGCUUUUAU
ensembl:lncRNA